rnacentral:sRNA from 1 species
GCUGGGUGAGGUGGCGCACCCCUGUAAUCCCAGCAGCCUGGGAGGCUGAGAUAGGAGAAUCAUGAGUUCAAACCAAGCCUUAGCAAAAGUGAGGCACAAAGCAACUCAGUGAGACCCUGUCUCUA